GUCUGAGACAAUCGGGAGUUAGUAUUAGAAUAACAAUUCCUUGUUAUUACUUUAUCCCAAAGAGAACUUUCCUGGUUAAUUGGGUUGGGUAUCACUCUGUUAAUAACCUGAUGGUAUUUUCUCCUUUGUAGUAGAGUCUUUAUUUAAUACAGAAUAAUGUGGGUCUUCUGAUUCUUAGCAUCCCUGCUUUAUUGGUAAUUUUCGUCACAUCAGUUAGGGAGUUGACUUUGGAAUGUGUAGGACCCUUUUUUAAUUGUAUAUUUAAAAUAAUAACAUAAGAGACUAUAUUUAUGUAAGAAGUACCUUAGAAUUUAAAGAAUUUAGACUUCAGAGAGUAAUAAAGGCCAAAAAGAGUCAAGAGGAAAGACCUGUUCUAGGGAGCUAACUGGGUCUUAGCUAAGGAGCUGAAACCUUAACCUUUUUCUUUUCUUUUUCUGAGACAGAGUUUCUGUUGCCCAGGCUGGAAUGCAGUGGUGCAAUCUCUGCUCACUGCAACCUCUGCCUUCCAGGUUCAAGCAAUUCUCCUGCGUUAGUCUCCGGAGUAGCUAGGAUAACAGAUGUGUGCCCAGCUAAUUUUUUUGUAUUUUUUGAGACAGAGUUUUGUUCUGUCACUAGGUGCCAGGCUGGAGUGCAGUGGUGCGAUCUCGGCUCACUGCAACCUCCGCUUCCUGGGCUCAAGCAAUUUUCCUUGCUCAGCCUCCUGAGUAGCAGGGACUACAGGCACGCGCCACCACGCCCAGCUAAUUUUUGUAUUUUUAGUACAGACAGGGUUUCACCAUGUUGGCCAGGCUGGUCUCAAUCUCUUCAACUCGUGAUUCGCCUGCCUUGGCCUCCCAAAGUGCUGGGAUUACAGGUAUGAGCCAUCGCACCCCACCAUUUUUUUGUAUUUUUAAUAGAGACGGUGUUUCACCAUGCUGGCCAGGCUAGUUUCAAAUUCCUGACCUCAGGUGAUCUGCCCGCCUCAGACUCCUAGAGUGCUGGGAUUAUAGUGUGAGCCAUUGCGCCCAGCCGUUUUUGUUUCUUUGGUAAGAGACAGGGUCUUAUUCUGUCACUCAAGCUAGAAUGCAGGGGCCUAAUCAUAGCUUAUUGCAGCCUUGAACUCCCAUAGAAUCUUUCUCCUAGACUCUCUUAGUUGAGUAGACCAAAUAAUUUCGUAUUCAUCACUCUAGCUUUUUUUAUUUAUCUAUUUAUUUUUUUUUUUGAGGCAGAGUUUCGCUCUUGUUACCCAGGCUGGAGUGCAAUGGCACGAUCUCAGCUCACCGCAACCUCCGCCUCCUGGGUUCAGGCAAUUCUCCUGCCUCAGCCUCCUGAGUAGCUGGGAUUACAGGCACGCGCCACCAUGCCCAGCUACUUUUUUUUUUGUAUUUUUAGUAGAGACGGGAUUUCACCAUGUUGACCAGGAUGGUCUCGAUCUCUUGACCUCGUGAUCCACCCACCUCAGCCUCCCAAAGUGCUGGGAUUACAGGCUUGAGCCACCGUGCCUGGCCAAUCUUUUUCUUUUUUUGAGACAGGGUCUUGCUCUGUUCCCCAGGCUGGAAUGCAGUGAUGUGAUCAUGGCUCACAGCACCCUGACCUUAUAUGUUCAAUUGAUCCUCCCACCUCAGCCUCCCUAGUAGCUUGUAAUACAAGCAUCCACCAACAUCCCCAGCUAAUUUUUUUUUUUUUUGAGACAUAGUCUCACACUGUUGCCCAGGGUGGAGUGCGAUAGCGCUAGCUCAGCUCACUGCAUAUUCUGCUUCCUGGGUUCAAGCAAUUCUUCUGCCUCAGCUUCCUGAGUAGCUGGGAUUACAGGCGCCUGUCACCACACCCAGCUAAAUUUUGUAUUUUUGGUAGAGAUAGGGUUUCACCAUUUUGGCCAGGCUGGUCUUGAAUUCCUGACCUUGUGAUCUGCCAUGUAGGCCUCUCAGAGUGCUGGGAUUACAGGCAUGAGCCACCAUGCCUGGCACUUUUUUUUUUCUCAUUCUGUCAUCAGGAUGGAGUGCAGUGAUGCAGUCUUGGUUCACUGCAACCUCCACUUCCCGGGUUCUAGUGAUUCCCCAGCCUCAGCCUCCCAAGUAGCUGGGACUACAAGCACAUGCCACCAUACUCAGCUAAUUUUUGUAUUUUUGGUAGAGACAGGGUUUCAUCACAUUAGCCAGGAUAGUCUCAAUCUCUUGAUUUCCUGAUCUGCCUGCCUUGGCCUCCCGAAGCGCUGGGAUUACAGGUGUGAGCCGCUGCACCUGGACAACCCUGGUAAUUCUUUUUUUUUUUGAGAUCAAAUUUCACUCUUGUUACCCAUGCCGGAGUGCAGUGGCUCCAUCUCGGCUCACUGCAACCUCUGCCUCCCAGGUUCAAGCUAUUCUCCUGCGUCAGCCUCCUGAGUAGCUGGCAUUACAGGCAUGCACCACCAUGCUAGCUAAUUUUGUAUUUUUAGUAGAGAUGGGGUUUCUCCAUGUUGGGCAGCCUGCUCUUGAACUCCUGACCUCAGGUGAUCCGCCUGCUUUGACCUCCCAAAGUGCUAGGAUUACAGGCGUGAGCCACUGCACCUGGCUCAACCCAGGUAAUUUUUAAAAGAAUUUUUUUUUAGAGAUGGGGUCUCACUAUGUGCCCAGGCUGGUCUCGAACUCCUGGGUUCGAGCAGUCUUCCCACCUCAGCCUCCCAAAUUGGUGUGAUUAUAGGUGUGAGCUGCCACACCCAGCCAGUCUAACUCUAACUGUAUCUUUUUUUUUUUUUGAGGUGGAGUUUCACUCUCGCCAGGAUGGAUUACAAUGACGGAGUUUUGCACCAUCACCAUGUUACCCAGACUGGAUUGCAAUGGCACGAUCUCGGCUCACCGCAACCUCCACCUUCUGGGUUCAAGCAAUUCUCCUGCCUCAGCCUCCCGAGUAGCUGGGACUACAGGCACGCACCACGAUGCCCAGCUAAUUUUUGUAUUUUUAGUAGAGACGGGGUUUCACCAUGUUGACCAGGAUGGUCUCGAUCUCUUGACCUCAUGAUCCACCCGCCUCGGCCUCCCAAAGUGCUGGGAUUAUAGGUGUGAGCCACCACACCUGCCCUCUUUUUUUUUUUUUUUUUUAAAAUUGAGAUGGAAUCUUGCUCUGUCACCCAGGCUGCAGUGCAGUGGCUCCAUCUCGGCUCACUGCAGCCUCCACCUCCCAGGUUCAAGUGAUUCUCCUGUCUCUGCCUCCUGAGUAGCUGAGACUACAGGAGCACUCCACCAUGCCCGACUAAUUUUUGUAUUUUUAGUUAGGGUUUCACUAUGGUAGCCAGGCUGCUCUUGAACUUCUGACCUCAGGUGAUCCACCCUCCUUGGCCUCCCAAAAUGCUGGCAUUACAGGUGUGAGGCACCAUGCCAGGCCUCAUUAAUUGAUUUUCAAAUGUUAAACCAACCUCACAUUCCUGGGAUUAAUUUCUUUAAUAUACUUAAAUUAACACUUUGCUUAAAUCAGAUUCUCUAUUUACAUUGUUAUAACUUGGAAAAUGCUGUUGACAGCUGAGUUACAUAGUACAUUAUGAAUACUUUUUCUUUCUUGCAUAA